UACGGAGGGUGCGAGCGUUGUCCGGAAUCACUGGGCGUAAAGGGCGCGUAGGUGGCGCGGGCAGUCAACGGUGAAAGUUCGGGGCUCAACCCUGAAUCGGCCGUCGAUACUCCCGGGCUUGAGCACUGUAGAGGCAGAUGGAAUUCCGGGUGUAGCGGUGGAAUGCGUAGAUAUCGUAAGGAAGACCAGUGGCGAAGGCGAAUCUCUGGACAGUUACUGACACUGAGCUCGAAGGCCAGGGGGGCAAACGGG
rnacentral:rRNA from 1 species